CAGCAUUUAUGUUCAGUAUCUCUGUUGUUAGACAAAAGUCAUAAAGACCGCGAGAGUAUGGCUGCGGGUAACAAAGACGACAAGAAGGCAAAGGUUUAGCUUAUAUCUAUAGAAGUCAUAGAAGCCGAAUUUAACAGUUUUGCCGCAAAGUUAAAGAAUGAGUUGCAGAAAGCACACACAAGGGUAAAUGAUGUAGAAAAAGAGUUAUCAGCCAAGGAAGAUGACUUCUCCAGCACUUUGAAACAAAACGAAGACAGGUACAAUUCUCUGUCACUUAAAAUGAUGAAAUUACAGGAAGAAAACAUCGAACAGAAAAACAAGACCAAACUGUCAGAAAAAAGUCAUUCCAGUGAACGCUGUUAUCUUAUGAACAUGAAUGAAGAAAACAAAAAGCACAUUGAAAGCCUAAAUGAUCUUAUUAAAUCGAUGAACAUGGAAAUUAAAAAGCUUAAAUGUGAACAUAGCAAAGAAACUGAAC